rnacentral:rRNA from 1 species
ACGGGUGAGUAACACGUGGGUAACCUACCUACAAGCGGGGGAUAACAUUCGGAAACGGAUGCUAAUACCGCAUAGAUCUUUUUGUCUCCUGGCAGAAAGAAGAAAGACGGUUUUGGCUGUCACUUGUAGAUGGACCCGCGGCGCAUUAGUUAGUUGGUGAGGUAAUGGCUCACCAAGACGAUGAUGCGUAGCCGACCUGAGAGGGUGAUCGGCCACACUGGGACUGAGACACGGCCCAGACUCCUACGGGAGGCAGCAGUAGGGAAUCUUCCGCAAUGGACGAAAGUCUGACGGAGCAACGCCGCGUGAGUGAAGAAGGUUUUCGGAUCGUAAAACUCUGUUGUUAGAGAAGAACAAGGAUGAGAGUAACUGCUCGUCCCUUGACGGUAUCUAACCAGAAAGCCAUGGCUAACUACGUGCCAGCAGCCGCGGUAAUACGUAGAUGGCAAGCGUUGUCCGGAUUUAUUGGGCGUAAAGCGAGCGCAGGCGGUUCUUUAAGUCUGAUGUGAAAGCCCCUGGCUCAACCAGGGAGGGUCAUUGGAAACUGGAGAACUUGAGUGCAGAAGAGGAAAGUGGAAUUCCAUGUGUAGCGGUGAAAUGCGUAGAUAUAUGGAGGAACACCAGUGGCGAAGGCGACUUUCUGGUCUGUAACUGAC